rfam:Kordia algicida OT-1 1103813601120 genomic scaffold, whole genome shotgun sequence.
AAAGGGGAAGCCGAAAAACUAAUAGAGUAGGCA